rnacentral:rRNA from 1 species
GAUGAACGCUGGCGGCGUGCCUAAUACAUGCAAGUCGAGCGAACGGACGAGAAGCUUGCUUCUCUGAUGUUAGCGGCGGACGGGUGAGUAACACGUGGAUAACCUACCUGUAAGACUGGGAUAACUUCGGGAAACCGGAGCUAAUACCGGAUAAUAUUUUGAACCGCAUGGUUCAAAAGUGAAAGACGGUCUUGCUGUCACUUAUAGAUGGAUCCGCGCUGCAUUAGCUAGUUGGUAAGGUAACGGCUUACCAAGGCAACGAUGCAUAGCCGACCUGAGAGGGUGAUCGGCCACGUUGGAACUGAGACACGGUCCCGUCUCCUACGGGAGGCAGCAGUAGGGAAUAUUCCGCAAUGGGCGGAAGCCUGACGGAGCAACGCCGCGUGAGUGAUGAAGGUCUUCGGAUCGUAAAACUCUGUUAUUAGGGAAGAACAUAUGUGUAAGUAACUGUGCACAUCUUGACGGUACCUAAUCAGAAAGCCACGGCUAACUACGUG